GGAGAGUACCAUGUUAGUGCACACUCAAAAUAACUAAAAGGUUGCCGAAGAAAAAGACAGUCUACAAGUACUCGUGUUCACCAGUUUAUUGGUUGGCAAGCUAGACUAGCAACAUUCGGUUAAUUUUUGAGCAAUAAUAUUGCACUGUCCCGUGCCAUCAGUGCUAAUUAGCUGGUCUAGCUGAAACGUUGCCCGGAAGCUCAGGUCUAACCAUUAGUUGCUAACUAAAUAUCCACUUAUUUAAUUUUAGCUUCGUAGCCACGCAAUUACAUGAUCUGGUCUUGGCUUCUUAGAACUACGUUUUCCACGCAUGCACAAUUUAUGUAGAUAUCCAAAUCAACAUAAGCAAACCUUAACAACAGCCUAAUGUUGGUCUCACAUAAUCUGUACAUGUACUGGAUAUUAUAUGAAAAGUCUUCUGGCCCAAUAGAUCAAAUGGGGUGGGGGGGUUCCAGGAGAAUGCUGCCUGCACCCUGGGAGAAGAAGUGGAGCAGGCCAACGCCUUCCUCUCCAGGAUCGCCAUUUCCACUAAAUAUAUGUCAAAAGCUGACCAAGCAAAGUCUGCAACAACAAAAAGACAGCCUGGAGGCCUUAACGACAGAGCUGUCAGUCGACAACUCCACAAUCCUGCAGUGGGUGACCGAUGUUCAGGAUUGGGCUGAGAGUGAUCUCAAUACAAUCGAGCAGCUGUUGGAAGUGCUGGACAAACAAGUCUGAUCCAUGGAGGCCCCACCUCACAACUUACAGGACUUAAAGGAUCUGCUGCUAAUGUCUUGGUGCCAGAUACCACAGCACACUUGUUCCGGGAGUACAA